rnacentral:lncRNA from 1 species
AGGCACUCCAAUCCAAUUUAAGUAGCGUGUCAGCUUUUUUGAGAUGUAGGUUUUCCCUCUUGCUGGCAGACCCACCAUGACAAUCAGCGUAGGGCAGUUGGUCAUACAUACGCCGCGCUGGGCGCUGUGCCCCGCCGGCAGCCCGUUGUCGUAGGGCUCCCACGUCUUCUGCAGCGGGUUCUGCGUCAGCUCCCGAGCCGGAGACGCAGCCGCCGCCAUCCUCGGCCGCCUCCCGG